UUUUUGGCUUCAGUCCAUGAUCAGUUUGAUUACAGUUUCCUCCAGGAGCUCACCAGGAGAGCAGGAUACACCAUCUCCUGGAUGGGAGGAUUCUACUUCCAGGGCUGGAGGUGGGUGGACCAGAGCUCCUUCAGCUACACGUACUGGAGUACAGUGAAUUCUGCCAGCAGCUACCCAUGCGUCUACCUUAGAGUCGCUGGGGGCUGGUCCAAUCAGGCCUGCAGUACUACAUGGCCGUCUAUCUGCAU